GCGUGCUUAACACAUGCAAGUCGAACGGUGAAGCCCCGCUUGCGGGGUGGAUCAGUGGCGAACGGGUGAGUAACACGUGAGCAACCUGCCCCUGACUCUGGGAUAAGCGCUGGAAACGGCGUCUAAUACUGGAUACGAGACGUGAUCGCAUGGUCAACGUUUGGAAAGAUUUUUCGGUUGGGGAUGGGCUCGCGGCCUAUCAGCUUGUUGGUGAGGUAAUGGCUCACCAAGGCGUCGACGGGUAGCCGGCCUGAGAGGGUGACCGGCCACACUGGGACUGAGACACGGCCCAGACUCCUACGGGAGGCAGCAGUGGGGAAUAUUGCACAAUGGGCGCAAGCCUGAUGCAGCAACGCCGCGUGAGGGAUGACGGCCUUCGGGUUGUAAACCUCUUUUAGCAGGGAAGAAGCGAGAGUGACGGUACCUGCAGAAAAAGCACCG
rnacentral:rRNA from 1 species